ACGCACAAAUAUACUGUCGGGACUGUUCGCUUUGCAGGGUUGGGAAAGUUACUUUCUAAACUGCAACUAGUUACCGUUACUCGUUACUGAUUCAAAAAAAGUAACUCGUUCCCGUUAUCGUUACUAAUUUUGAAAAGUAAUUCGUUAUCGUUGCCGCUACUCAAAAAGUAACGCAUCGUUAUUAUUUCGUUACUUUAUUUAUUCCCUGAUUUGAUUUUUUAGCGCGUUAAUGUUCAAAAGAAAUAUCCGUAAUAAGGCUUUAAGUAUAAAAAAUUAAUCAAUAAAAAUCAAUUAUUUUCCUAAUAUUCUAUCUUGAUUGAUCUAUUUCUUACGUUUCAAAGUUUAUCUUACAACUGUACACCCAAUCUAAAGUAACGAUUAAAGUGACUAUUCGAUUCGUUACAGUUACCAAAAAAAAUGUAACUGCGUUAACGUUACAGUUACUACUGACAAAAAAUAACGCCGUUAUCAAAUCGUUACUGGAAAAAAGUAACUUGUAACGGUGACGCGUUACUUCCCAACCCUGUCGCUUUGUGACCCGUCUUGAAACACGGAA
rnacentral:rRNA from 1 species